CCUGGAGGAAGGUGGGGAUGACGUCAAAUCAUCAUGCCCCUUAUGCUUAGGGCUACACACGUGCUACAAUGGGUAGUACAGAGGGUUGCCAAGCCGUAAGGUGGGGCUAAUCCCUUAAAGCUACUCUUAGUUCGGAUUGUAGGCUGAAACUCGCCUACAUGAAGCUGGAGUUACUAGUAAUCGCAGAUCAGAAUGCUGCGGUGAAUGCGUUCCCGGGUCUUGUACACACCGC
rnacentral:rRNA from 1 species